UAGAGUUUGAUCCUGGCUCAGAUUGAACGCUGGCGGCAGGCCUAACACAUGCAAGUCGAGCGGCAGCGACAACAUUGAACCUUCGGGGGAUUUGUUGGGCGGCGAGCGGCGGACGGGUGAGUAAUGCCUAGGAAAUUGCCCUGAUGUGGGGGAUAACCAUUGGAAACGAUGGCUAAUACCGCAUGAUGCCUACGGGCCAAAGAGGGGGACCUUCGGGCCUCUCGCGUCAGGAUAUGCCCAGGUGGGAUUAGCUUGUUGGUGAGGUAAUGGCUCACCAAGGCAACGAUCCCUAGCUGGUCUGAGAGGAUGAUCAGCCACACUGGAACUGAGACACGGUCCAGACUCCUACGGGAGGCAGCAGUGGGGAAUAUUGCACAAUGGGGGAAACCCUGAUGCAGCCAUGCCGCGUGUGUGAAGAAGGCCUUCGGGUUGUAAAGCACUUUCAGUAGGGAGGAAGGUAGUGUAGUUAACACCUGCAUUAUUUGACGUUACCUACAGAAGAAGCACCGGCUAACUCCGUGCCAGCAGCCGCGGUAAUACGGAGGGUGCGAGCGUUAAUCGGAAUUACUGGGCGUAAAGCGCAUGCAGGCGGCCUGUUAAGUCAGAUGUGAAAGCCCGGGGCUUAACCUCGGAAUUGCAUUUGAAACUGGCAGGCU
rnacentral:rRNA from 1 species